rnacentral:lncRNA from 1 species
GAGGGGCAAAAGAGUCCGUCGGAUUUUAAGCCACCAAUCGUGCGAGCUUAUGUUUGGAGGUUUACACUGAUUGAGAUCCGUCACAAACACAUUGUUUCAAGUAUUAUUUGGAUAAUAUAACCAGCUAGAUUCACAAUAGGAAAAUGCAUCAAAGGGGAGACAAAGUCAAUUCAGUGAGGGAUCGUCCAAAGAAAUUUACCAAGUAGGUUUCACUUUUGACGUAAGUGUUGUGCUUUGUUGUCUUCUCUCCUUUUCUGUGUAUGCUCUAAUUAAAAAUGGAUUGCAUGAUCGACUUGCCAAUAUUAGAAUGAUAUCUCUUACCAGUAAAAUUUGCUAUAUCUGCAAAAACAUCAUUAACAAAUCGCAUAUGAAAAGUUUUCAAUACUAACACGAAAAAAUCUAUUUUUUCCAAGCUAAUUAUAUUAUCAUAUCCUAAAAUAAAUAAAUAUAUUUUUUAAG